UACGUAGGCAGCAAGCGUUGUUCGGAGUUACUGGGCGUAAAGGGUGUGUAGGCGGUUUUUUAAGUUUGGGGUGAAAUCUCCCGGCUCAACUGGGAGGGUGCGCCGAAUACUGAAAGACUAGAGUGCGGGAGAGGAAAGUGGAAUUCCUGGUGUAGCGGUGAAAUGCGUAGAUAUCAGGAGGAACACCGGUGGUGUAGACGGCUUUCUGGACCGUAACUGACGCUGAGGCACGAAAGCGUGGGUAGCAAACAGG
rnacentral:rRNA from 1 species